rnacentral:lncRNA from 1 species
GAAAGAGUUAUUAUCAAUAGAAAGGAAUGUUUGGAGACAUCCAAUAGAAAUUCAAUAGACAAUCAUUAGAAAGGAAUGUCUGGGUCGUGGAGACCAAGGUUUUAUUAUGCAGAUGAAGCCUCCAAGUAGCAGGCUUCAGAGAGAAUAGGUUGUAAAUGUUUCUUAAUACACUUAAAAAGAGCAUGUUCUGGCUGGGUGCAGUGGCUCAUGCCUGUAAUCCCAGCACUUUGGGAGGCCAAGGCAAGAGGAUUGCUUGAGCCCAGGGGCUCCAGACCAGAAUUGGCAACAAAGUGAGACCUACAAAAAAACAAAAAUAAAAUAAAAAUAAAGCAAAGUUUGACUGUUUAAAGGGUAAUUUAAGUAUGAGAAACUGGUGAUUGGAAAUCACUGCCAAAAAGGGAAGUCUUCCCAGAGCCUUGCUGCUCACAGUGUGGUCUGAAGCUGAGAUCCCCCGGGAGGUUGUAAGAAAGGUAACAUCCCAGCUUAUCUGAAUCCAGAUCUGCAUUUUAAAAAGAUCUCCAGAUGUUUGUGUCCAUAUGUACAUUAAAGGUUGAGAAGUCCGGCUCUGGAGAGUUCCUUCACUUGCUUUCUGAAGUGAUGGACUCCUUGGAUUGGGCCUGUUCUGACCAACCAACUGAGCACAGGUCUGCCAGUUCCUUCACGUAGUCAGUUGGAGCAUAACCAGCACAUGCUGGGGACAAGCUGCACAUGUGCAGACAAGAGUGGGGAAAUCCCCACUCUUACCACUUCAAGAAAGCCACUUUCUGAAAAUUUCAAGAUUCUACUCUAGUAAUAGCUUUGACUGGGAAGGAGAUGUGGUAUCUACCCUGGAGUCUGUGGGCAAGACAGGUGGUCAUGAUCUGGGUUAGGUGAGAGACUGUAACUAUGUUGAUUCUGGGGAUUUCCUAAGGACUAGCAGCACUAGCUUUAACUGCUUUAGUAAGCGAAAUCUUAUGUCUGCAAUCCGAGGUCAUGGGAAAUCUCUUUCUGGACCUGAGGGAAUCCUAUCUCCCUAAGGUCUUCUACUAGAUGCAGAUCCAGGUAGGACUGGCAUUCUACUCCCCAAGUUUCACCUGAACCUAGCUAUUCUGUUUUUUCUUCUUUUUCUUUUAUUCUUUUUUUUUUUUUUUUUUUUUUUUUUU